rnacentral:tRNA from 1 species
GCCUGGCUGGCUCAGUAGAUGGAGCAUGUGACUCCUAAUCUCAGGGUUGUAAGUUCAAGCCCCAUGUUGGGCG